UACGUAGGUGACCAGCGUUGUCCGGAUUUACUGGGCGUAAAGAGCGCGUAGGCGGCCAAGCAGGUCCGUUGUGAAAACUGGAGGCUUAACCUCCAGACGUCGACGGAAACCGCGUGGCUAGAGUCCGGAAGAGGAGAGUGGAAUUCCUGGUGUAGCGGUGAAAUGCGCAGAUAUCAGGAAGAACACCAAUGGCGAAGGCAGCUCUCUGGGACGGUACUGACGCUGAGACGCGAAAGCGUGGGGAGCAAACAGG
rnacentral:rRNA from 1 species